rnacentral:rRNA from 1 species
AUGCUGACAAGUGAUACUACUGUUGCCGAGGCAAUCAGAAGAGUGGGGUAUGAUUUGCACUCGUGGAGCAAGGAGAUAUUGGGGGAUCUGAAAAAUAGGAUUAAAAGAGCAAAAAAGGACCUGAACCGGUGUAGGAAGGGGGCGAUCUCCAAACAGCAGGUGGCUCAGGAGCAGCUGUUACGUUAUAAGUUGGAAAGGCUUCAGGACCAGAAGAAUAUUUACUGGAAGCAAAGGGCGCAUGCUCAUUGGCUGAAAGAUGGGGACCGAAACACGAGCUUCUUUCAUGCUUGUGCGUCGGAUAGGAGAAGGGUGAACCAAAUUACAAAGCUGCAUACUGAUGAGGGAGGCGUGGUGGAGGGCGAGGGGGAGUUGCGGGAGCUCAUUGCUAGCUAUUAUAAGUCUCUUUUCUCUUCUGUGGCAGGGACAAGGGAGGCUGAACUCCUAUGUAAAGUGUCUCCUGUGGUCACUAUAAAGAUGAACGUGUAUCUUUCAAAGCCUUUCACCAUUGAAGAAAUUAGGGAGGCUCUGAAUUCUAUGGGGGACUUGAAAGCACCAGGGCCGGAUGGUAUGCCAGCAAUCUUCUACAAAAGGUUUUGGGACCUGGUGGGGCCAAAGGUUCAGGAGGCGGUCCUUGGUGUCCUGAACGGGGGUCCUGUGCCCGUCGGCUGGAAUGAGACCAUUGUUGUUCUGAUUCCAAAGGUCCUUAAUCCAUCGCGAAUGAAGGACCUUAGGCCUAUCAGCCUGUGCAAUGUGGUUUUCAAGAUCAUAACAAAGGUGAUUGCCCGUCGCUUGAAGGAGGUGCUGCCAGCGAUUAUAUCCCCAAGUCAAAGUGCCUUCGUGCCGGGAAGAUUGAUAACGGACAACAUGUUGAUCGCUUACGAGACCACUCACUUCAUGCAUCAGCGUAAGGGGGGAAGAGACAGGCUGGCGGCUGUCAAACUGGAUAUGAGCAAGGCGUAUGACCGCGUUGAGUGGUCUUUUUUGGAAAAUAUGAUGCUAAAGAUGGGGUUUUCCCGGGACUGGGUGCACCUAAUUAUGGGAUGUGUCACUACUGUGACUUAUAGGAUUAAGGUCAACAAUGAUCUGACGGAGGUCAUUGUGCCUGAGAGAGGCUUAAGGCAGGGAUGCCCCCUAUCACCCUAUCUUUUCAUUCUCUGUGCGGAGGGCCUUUCUACUCUGUUCCAAGAUGCCGAGAGAGAGGGUAGCCUUCAGGGGGUGCAGGUUUGUACGGGAGCCCCAAGGAUAAACCAUAUGUUCUUUGCGGACGAUUCUCUCAUCUUCAUGAAGGCAAACGAGGCUAGUGCAGGAAAGUUGAUGAGCAUUUUGGCCUUGUAUGAGGAUGCCUCGGGGCAGGUGAUUAAUAAAGACAAAUCGGCUGUCAUGUUCAGCAAGGGGACUUCUCAGGCGGCGAAGAGGAAGUUCAAGAAUCUCCUCCAAAUUAGUAACGAGGCCUUCAAUGAAAGGUAUCUUGGUUUGCCUAUUUACCUGGGCAAGUCCAAGAGCAAAGCAUUUGGCUAUUUGUUGGAGAAGGUGUGGAAGAAGAUCCAGGGAUGGAAGGAAAAGUUUCUUUCUAGGGCGGGAAAGGAAAUAUUGGUUAAGGCGGUGGCGCAGGCAAUCCCUAUUUUUGCCAUGUCCUGUUUUGAUCUCACUAAAACUCUCUGCGACGAUAUCAGCUCGAUGGUGUGCCGCUAUUGGUGGAACAAUCAGGAGGAGGAUCGACACCACUGGCUGGGUUAG